AAAGCGGAGGAAAAGAAACCAACCGGGAUUGCCUCAGUAACGGCGAGUGAAGCGGCAAGAGCUCAAAUUUGAAAGCUGGCUCCUUCGGAGUCCGCAUUGUAAUUUGCAGAGGAUGCUUUGGGUGCGGCCCCCGUCUAAGUGCCCUGGAACGGGCCGUCAGAGAGGGUGAGAAUCCCGUCUUGGGCGGGGUGUCCGUGCCCGUGUAAAGCUCCUUCGACGAGUCGAGUUGUUUGGGAAUGCAGCUCUAAAUGGGUGGUAAAUUUCAUCUAAAGCUAAAUACUGGCCGGAGACCGAUAGCGCACAAGUAGAGUGAUCGAAAGAUGAAAAGCACUUUGAAAAGAGAGUUAAACAGCACGUGAAAUUGUUGAAAGGGAAGCGCUUGCGACCAGACUCGCCCGCGGGGUUCAGCCGGCAUUCGUGCCGGUGUACUUCCCCGUGGGCGGGCCAGCGUCGGUUUGGGCGGCCGGUCAAAGGCCCCUGGAAUGUAGUGCCCUCCGGGGCACCUUAUAGCCAGGGGUGCAAUGCGGCCAGCCUGGACCGAGGAACGCGCUUCGGCACGGACGCUGUCA
rnacentral:rRNA from 1 species